UACAGAGGCCUCAAGCAUUAUCCGGAUUCACUGGGCGUAAAGGGUGCGUAGGCGGUUAUAUUAGUCGGGUGUUAAAUCCUGGGGCUCAACCUCAGAAUCGCAUUCGAAACGGUAUAACUAGAAGAAGUCAGAGGUAAACAGAACUCUCGGUGUAGGGGUGAAAUCCGUUGAUAUCGAGGGGAAUACCAAAUACGAAGGCAGUUUACUGGGACUUUCUUGACGCUGAGGCACGAAAGCGUGGGUAGCGAAUGGG
rnacentral:misc_RNA from 1 species